rnacentral:tRNA from 1 species
AAGUAAGAAGCAAAAUUUGCAUUUAGUUUCGACCUAAAAAUAUGAUGAAUAAUCAUCCUUACUUA